rnacentral:rRNA from 1 species
GAUGAACGCUGGCGGCGUGCUUAACACAUGCAAGUCGAACGGAAAGGCCAGUGCUUGCACUGGUACUCGAGUGGCGAACGGGUGAGUAACACGUGGGUGAUCUGCCCUGCACUUCGGGAUAAGCCUGGGAAACUGGGUCUAAUACCGGAUAGGACAAUGGUUUGGAUGCCGUUGUGGAAAGUUUUUUCGGUGUGGGAUGAGCUCGCGGCCUAUCAGCUUGUUGGUGGGGUAAUGGCCUACCAAGGCGUCGACGGGUAGCCGGCCUGAGAGGGUGUACGGCCACAUUGGGACUGAGAUACGGCCCAGACUCUUACGGGAGGCAGCAGUGGGGAAUAUUGCACAAUGGGCGCAAGCCUGAUGCAGCGACGCCGCGUGGGGGAUGACGGCCUUCGGGUUGUAAACUCCUUUCGCUAGGGACGAAGCGUAUUUGUGACGGUACCUGGAGAAGAAGCACCGGCUAACUACGUG